rnacentral:miRNA from 1 species
CUCUCUUUGGUACUUGAAGAGAGGAUACCCCUUGUGUGUUCAUGCUAUUAAUGUGAAUAUACGGGGGAGACUCUUAUUUGCGUAUCAAACUCUGUCUGGGAAGGCGC